rnacentral:lncRNA from 1 species
GAGAGAGUGGGUCCGAGGCAAUCCCUGGGGACGGAGGGGCGUCUUCCAAGCCUCCCGAGUCAGAGGCCCUACCCUACCUCCCAGGCCUCCACCUCCUGUUUCAGCCUCAGUUUCUCCUGCAAGACCUCCAGCAGUUGAGCCUCCACUGCGCGCAACUUGGCUCGACAGGAGUCCAGCUCCUCUUCCACCGCUCGCUUCCUGCAGGCAGCAGGGAUGGGGGGGGGGGGCGUGUUCUAGUGGCUCUCUUCUGGAGACAUCUGGAGUCCCCUUCCUCUCCUCUAGUAGGAGUGAGUCUCCCCACUUCCCCCACCCCCACCUGGAGGUUCUCUCACUUAGCAAUGGCUUCAUCCCUCUCCCGCAGUACUUGCUCCAGGGAAGGCUCCGCCCAGGUGUCCCCCAGUGCUCCUGCCGCUUAGGAUUCUGGGUUCUGUUGGAAGGUGAUGGAUGACCUGGGGUUCGAGAAGCCUCACCGUGGGUUCUUCUGCCCUGCCCCUGGUCUGCCUCAUGCUAUUUCCACUCAGCCUUACCACCCUUCGCCUCCAGGGGGUGCUGCGCCCGCAUCUUAUAAAGCCUCAGGAUCCCUAGUCUGGCUAUCUGGGGAGUAGACCAGGGGACCUUGGGUCUUAUUCAGGAACGGUCUGGUUCAGCAGAAUGGACAAUGUUGUAAGCU